UAAAGCGUGCGCAGGCGGUUUUGUAAGACUGUCGUGAAAUCCCCGGGCUCAACCUGGGAAUGGCGAUGGUGACUGCAAGGCUAGAGUUUGGCAGAGGGGGGUAGAAUUCCACGUGUAGCAGUGAAAUGCGUAGAUAUGUGGAGGAACACCGAUGGCGAAGGCAGCCCCCUGGGUCAAAACUGACGCUCAUGCACGAAAGCGUGGGGAGCAAACAGGAUUAGAUCCCUAGU
rnacentral:rRNA from 1 species